AUUGAACGCUGGCGGCAGGCCUAACACAUGCAAGUCGAGCGGAUGAGAAGAGCUUGCUCUUCGAUUCAGCGGCGGACGGGUGAGUAAUGCCUAGGAAUCUGCCUGGUAGUGGGGGACAACGUUUCGAAAGGAACGCUAAUACCGCAUACGUCCUACGGGAGAAAGCAGGGGACCUUCGGGCCUUGCGCUAUCAGAUGAGCCUAGGUCGGAUUAGCUAGUUGGUGAGGUAAUGGCUCACCAAGGCGACGAGCCGUAACUGGUCUGAGAGGAUGAUCAGUCACACUGGAACUGAGACACGGUCCAGACUCCUACGGGAGGCAGCAGUGGGGAAUAUUGGACAAUGGGCGAAAGCCUGAUCCAGCCAUACCGCGUGUGUGAAGAAGGUCUUCGGAUUGUAAAGCACUUUAAGUUGGGAGGAAGGGCAGUAAGUUAAUACCUUGCUGUUUUGACGUUACCGACAGAAUAAGCACCGGCUAACUCUGUGCCAGCCGCCGCCGUAAUAC
rnacentral:rRNA from 1 species